AGAGCGAACGCUGGCGGCAGGCCUAACACAUGCAAGUCGAGCGCCCCGCAAGGGGAGCGGCAGACGGGAGAGUAACACGUGGGAACGUACCCUUUGGUUCGGAACAACACAGGGAAACUUGUGCUAAUACCGGAUAAGCCCUUACGGGGAAAGAUUUAUCGCCAAAGGAUCGGCCCGCGUCUGAUUAGCUUGUUGGUGAGGUAACGGCUCACCAAGGCUACGAUCAGUAGCUGGUCUGAGAGGAUGAUCAGCCUCACUGGGACUGAGACACGGCCCAGACUCCUACGGGAGGCAGCAGUGGGGAAUAUUGGACAAUGGGCGCAAGCCUGAUCCAGCCAUGCCGCGUGGAUGAUGAAGGCCCUAGGGUUGUAAAGUCCUUUCGACGGGGAAGAUAAUGACGGUACCCGUAGAAGAAGCCCGGCUAACUCGUGCCAGCAGCCGC
rnacentral:rRNA from 1 species